rnacentral:rRNA from 1 species
GGACUACUGGGGUAUCUAAUCCCGUUUGCUCCCCUGGCUUUCGUGUCUCAGCGUCAGGAUACCCCCAGCGAGCUGUUUUCACCGUUGGCGUUCCAAGUGAUAUCUACGCAUUUCACCGCUCCACCACUUGUUCCGCUCGCCCCUAGGUACCUCAAGAGAACCAGUAUACCAAGCAGUUCCACGGUUGAGCCGUGGGAUUUCACAAGGUACUUAGAACUCCGCCUACACACGCUUUAAGCCCAGUGAUUCCGCCUAACGCUCGAGGCCUCUGUAUUACCGCGGCGGCUGGCAC